GAUGAACGCUGGCGGCGUGCCUAAUACAUGCAAGUCGAGCGAACAGACGAGGAGCUUGCUCCUCUGACGUUAGCGGCGGACGGGUGAGUAACACGUGGAUAACCUACCUAUAAGACUGGGAUAACUUCGGGAAACCGGAGCUAAUACCGGAUAAUAUAUUGAACCGCAUGGUUCAAUAGUGAAAGACGGUUUUGCUGUCACUUAUAGAUGGAUCCGCGCCGCAUUAGCUAGUUGGUAAGGUAACGGCUUACCAAGGCGACGAUGCGUAGCCGACCUGAGAGGGUGAUCGGCCACACUGGAACUGGGACACGGUCCAGACUCCUACGGGAGGCAGCAGUAGGGAAUCUUCCGCAAUGGGCGAAAGCCUGACGGAGCAACGCCGCGUGAGUGAUGAAGGUCUUCGGAUCGUAAAACUCUGUUAUUAGGGAAGAACAAAUGUGUAGGUAACUAUGCACGUCUUGACGGUACCUAAUCAGAAAGCCACGGCUAACUACGUG
rnacentral:rRNA from 1 species